UACCAGCACCCCGAGUGGUCGGGACGAUUAUUGGGCCUAAAGCAUCCGUAGCCGGUUCUACAAGUCUUCCGUUAAAUCCACCUGCUUAACAGAUGGGCUGCGGAAGAUACUAUAGAGCUAGGAGGCGGGAGAGGCAAGCGGUACUCGAUGGGUAGGGGUAAAAUCCGUUGAUCCAUUGAAGACCACCAGUGGCGAAGGCGGCUUGCCAGAACGCGCUCGACGGUGAGGGAUGAAAGCUGGGGGGAGCAGACCGG
rnacentral:rRNA from 1 species